rnacentral:rRNA from 1 species
AACGUAGGGGGCGAGCGUUGUCCGGAAUUACUGGGCGUAAAGGGCGCGUAGGCGGUUAUCCAAGUCAGGGGUGAAAACCUUGGGCUCAACUCAGGGCCUGCCUCUGAAACUGGGUAACUUGAGGGCAGGAGAGGGGAGUGGAAUUCCCAGUGUAGCGGUGAAAUGCGUAGAUAUUGGGAGGAACACCAGUGGCGAAGGCGGCUCUCUGGCCUAACCCUGACGCUGAGGCGCGAAAGCGUGGGGAUCAAACAGGAUUAGAUACCCUGGUAGUCCACGCCGUAAACGAUGGGUGCUAGGUGUAGGAGGUAUCGACCCCUUCUGUGCCGUAGUUAACACAAUAAGCACCCCGCCUGGGGAGUACGGCCGCAAGGUUGAA